GGGCAAUUAAUUUGUUCUCAAGUCCCUGUGCUUUCAGAAACCUAGACAUCUUCCCUGGCUCCACCCCCAUUAUCUGAACGCUUGCUCCCUAAUAAUUAAGCCCUUUACUGGGGCCAGAAUGAGGGACAAACUAUGUCACAGAACAGACCCUGACAUUUAGGUUUUAUUCUCAUCUUGGCAUCGGUGACAUCUGUCUGAGCUAUCGCAUAUUCAAGCGGCUACUCCCAAGAUUGCAUGUGUUUGUUUAAAAGUGACCUGCUACUACCUCACCAUUAGCCC
rnacentral:lncRNA from 1 species